rnacentral:rRNA from 1 species
AGUGAACGCUGGCGGCGUGCUUAACACAUGCAAGUCGAACGAGAACGGAAUAUAGCUUGCUAUAUUUGUCAGCUAAGUGGCGCACGGGUGAGUAAUGUAUAGAUAACCUGCCCUUAAGAAAGGAAUGACAGUUGGAAACGACUGCUAAUGCCCAAUAUGCCUUUAAUACACAGGUAUGCAAGGGAAACGCUUUAGUGCUUAAGGAUGGGUCUGUAUGGUAUCAGCUUGUUGGUGAGGUAAUGGCUCACCAAGGCUAUGACGCCUAACUGGUUUGAGAGGAUGAUCAGUCACACUGGAACUGAGACACGGUCCAGACCCCUACGGGAGGCAGCAGUGGGGAAUAUUGCGCAAUGGACGAAAGUCUGAUGCAGCAACGCCGCGUGGAGGAUGACACAUGUCGGUGCGUAAACUCCUUUUAUAUAGGAAGAUAAUGACGGUACUAUAUGAAUAAGCACCGGCUAACUCCGUGCCAGCCGCCGCGGUAA